UAAAGAAGAGUUCAUUCCUUUUCUGUUCUUUGAGCUGUGAACACACAUAAAAAAGAUUUUCUCUGGUGUUUUUUUGGACAAAUUUUAUCAUCAAAAUUUCGCAUGAAACGAAAAUCCAUAAAAAAUUUUAAAAUCCAAAUAUUUCAGAAAAACUGAAGUACUUUAAAGGAGUCGGCGAAUAAAGUUGUUCUUGGCAUCUCCGCGGGUUCAUUGACCUUCCCGUCCGCGAUGUUGGUGGAUCAUUAAGAUCCAUUGAACGAAGUCCACCCAAACGAUUAGGAAUCGAAGGGAUAAAUAGCAAUAAUCAAGGUGCAAUGAAAUGUGCAACAACUAGGUGAAGUUAUACAAUUGUUUAUUAUACUAAAAGUACACCCAAACGAUCAGGAAUCGAAGGAUGGAAGUGUGCAAAAUAGAUGAAGUUGUAAAACAGUUUAUUAAACUAACAAUACACCCAAACGAUGGCGAAUCGCAAAUAAUGAAAAGGAUCAUCAAGGUGCAAUGAAAUGUGCAACAAAUGGUAAAGUUAUAAAAUUUAUUAUUAAACUAAAUGUCCACCAAAACGAUUAGAAAUCGAAGUGAUGAAUCGCGAAAAUGAAGAGGAUCAUAAAGGUGCCAUGAAAUGUGAAACAAAUAGGUGAAGUUAUAUACAAUUGCAUAUUAAAUUAAAAUUCCACAAAAGCGAUUAGAUAUCAUAGGAUCAUCAAAGUCCAAUGAAAUGUGCACCAAAACGAUUAGAAAUCGAAUGGAUCAAUCGCGAUAACGAUGAGGAUCAUAAAGGUGCAAUGAAAUGUGCAACAAAUAGGUGAAGUUAUACAAUUGUUUAUUAAACUAAAAUUACACCCAAACGAUCAGGAAUCGAAGGAUGGAAGUGUGCAAAAUAGGUGAAGUUAUACAAUUGUUUAUUAAACUAACAGUACACCCGAACGAUUAGGAAUCGAAGUGAUGAAUCGCGAAAAUGAAGAGGAUCAUCAAGGUGGAAUGAAAUGUGCAACAAAUAGGUGAUGUUAUACCAUUGUUUAUUAAACUAAAAUUACACCCAAACGAUCAGGAAUCGAAGGAUGGAAAUGUGCAACAAAUAGGUGAAGUUAUACAAUUGUUUAUUAAACUAAAAGUCCACCCAAGCGAUUAGGAAUCGUCGGAUCAUCAAAUUCCAAUGAAAUGUGCAACAAAUGGUAAAGUUAUUAAAUUGAUUAUUAAACUAAAUGUCCACCAAAUCGAUUAGAAUUCGAAGAGAUGAAUCGCGAUAACGAUAAGGAUCAUAAAGGUGCAAUGAAAUGAAUCGAAGGAUGAACGCACUUUAGCCGAAGUAGUUUGCUGUGGAAUGUGUACGAAAUUGAAGGUACCGUAGUGAAAGGAUAAUUGAAGUAGGAAAUGGAGUGCAGCGACCCCAACACCUAAUUAUGAAAAUUGAGGACGACUAAGGCAACAUUAUUGAUAAAUAAUAAUGCCGAGCAAAAUGACCGGAGGGAGCGAAUUUUUGUCAACGGCAGCUGGUGCCGCUGGAUUGACAGCUUUUGUUUUCGUAUUAACUACAAGCUGUAAUUUGCGGCAAAAACACAGCAAUUAACAGGCAAUUGCAGCACGGCAGCCCUCUUUUGUCUUCGGCCCCCAUGGCACACUAAACUAGUUCAGUCGGUCCGUCUCCGCCUCCGUCGCUCCUAUCCGGUGCGGUCCGAGGUUCUCGCGUUCGUCUCCGGAUUUGGUGCGACUGCGGAACGCCCACCACCACGCCUUUCAGAACCACUGAUUGCCACACUGGAGAAAAACUCUGGUCGAUGUGACGGUAUUUUAACGAAAUAGGGAGCAUGCAAAUUUCUGAUUGGAAUAGUAACUCCUGAUGGAUUUUUUUUAUUAAUUUUUCGUGAUUUUAAUAUUUUUUAUAGUUUGCUUCUGUGAGGACCCACAAUUUAAUUGUAUCCUUUUCGGGCACGAUUCUAAUCUCUUCAAACGUCUUGCUUUAUAAGCAAAUUUCCAAGUGUUCAUUUAAAUUUAAAUCUGGUCGAAGCAACGGUAUUUUAAAGAAGUGGACUAAUAGUGAGGAUGCUUAUUUCUGAUUGGAGUAGUACCACCUGAAGGAUUUUUUAUAAAUUUGUUGUGAUUUUAAUAUUUUUAUAGCAGGAUGCUUAUCUCUUCGUCUUGCUUUAUAAGCAAAUUUCCUCGUGUUCAUUCAAAUUUAAAUCUGAUUUCUAGGGGAAAUUUGAUUUGUUCGUGGAUUUUGGUAUAAAAUAGAAGCGUUUCAAUCAAUUUAAUAUGUACAAUUCCACUAAUCUUCGCUUUUUUUAACUUUUAAAAUUCAAAUGCGUGUAUCAGAAUAAUUUUUAAAAAUGUUGUACGAAACGCACAGAUAGCUGGUCGAUUCAACGGUAUUUUAGCGAAGUGGAUUAAUUGGUAGCAUGCAAAUUUCUGAUUGGAAUAGUUACACCUGAUGGAUUUUUUUUUUUUAUUAAUUUUUCGUGAUUUUAGUAUUUUUAAUAGUUUGCUUUUGUGAGGACCCACAAUUUAAUUGUAUCCUUUUCGGGCAGGAUGCUAAUCUCUUCAAACGUCUUGCUUUAUAAACGAAUUUUCAAGUGUUCAUUUAAAUUUAAAUCUGGUCGAAGCUACGGUAUUUUAACGAAGUGGACUAAUAGUGAGGAUGCAAAUUUCUAAUUGGAGUAGUACCACCUGAAGGAUUUUUUUUUUAUACAUUUUUUGUGAUUUAAAUAUGUUUAUAGUUUUCUCACUAUUUAAUUGUAUCCUUUUCGGGCACGAUGCUUGUUUCUUCGUCUUGUUUUAUAAGCAAAUUUCCUAGUGUUUAUUCAAAUUUAAAUCGGAUUUCUAGGGAAAUUUGGUUUGUUCGUGGAUUUUGGUAUAAAAUAGAAUCGUUUCAAUCAAUUUAAUAUAUACAAAUCCACUAAUCUUCGCUUUUUUUCUAGCAUAAAACUUGAGAAACUCAAAAUUUAAAUGCAUGUACCAGAAUAAUUUUGAUAAAUGUUGUACGAAACGCACAAAUAUCUGAUCAUAAUGAUUACUUGCAAAUGGAUGAAUUACAAUAUUAACUAUUAAUUUCCUAGUUGAAGUAGGGUACAAUUUAUGAUAAAUUAAUGACGAAUAAUUCUAUGCGGAUCUUGCUUUGAAUCAUUUUUAAAUUUUAUUAGUUGCAUAUUUUAUUCAUGCGUUUUUUAAGCUUUCCAUGCUUGAUGUACAUAUUUUUCGUUCGAUAGUCUUUUUUUAGUCAACCCAAUAUUGAACACUAUUAUGAAAUGAUUAAUACGGGGUCAACGAUACGUCGGAUGAUAGUGAUGUUGGAAACAAAUUUAAUAACAAUUUCUCAUAUAGAUAUUCCCUAACAAUUCGCCGUAUAAAAAUUCUUUUGAACACUAUUAAUAUCAAAUGAUUUAGCUUCUAUUUAUGAACGCGGACUGCAUAAAGAAUCAAUACCAACGAUCAUCGAUGGGCAACAAAUGCAUUUUCCCCGGUGCAUUUUCUGUCGUGGGCCGACUUGAGGCAUUAUAAUUAAUUGGAAAUCGGAGUCGAUCAAUCGGAUGGCAACCGCAAAAUUAAUAAGCAUGAAUGAUGCCGACGACGCGAGUGUUCGCAGUAAUUGUGGAUGCGCCUGCACCCGUACUCGAGCUCAUAGUCAAAGUGGAGCAGACCAGACCAGAUCAGACCAAGCCAACCCAAGCCAACCCAGGCCAGAGCUGACGGGCUAAUCAAAUUGCUGGCAAUCAUGGAGCCGUAUAAGCAAAUGUAGCAAUUUCAGUCAAACACCGAGAGAGCCGGCAACUUGAUAUGGCCAAGCUGCAGACGGCAACAACCACUUGUGGCUGCGACGCGAUUUGAUUCGAUUCGAUUCCAUUCCAUUCGAUUCGCCUUAACUGAACUCGACUUGGGCUGGCUGUGGAAACCUCAGUCGAGUCAAUCAAAUGCAAAAUUGCGGUUCUUUGUUGAUUGUUGUUAAAAUCGCACUGCCGCUACCCAGCAGCAGUUGCAGCAGCAGCAGCAGCGGCAACAUUUUGCAUUUACCAACUGUAACUAGGCUUUCCAUACCAAUUAGUUUGAUUGAUUCCCGCAGACUGCAGCCAAAA